rnacentral:rRNA from 1 species
UACAGAGGGGGCAAGCGUUAUUCGGAAUUAUUGGGCGUAAAGGGUGCGUAGGCGGGUCUUUAAGUCAGGGGUGAAAUCCUGGAGCUCAACUCCAGAACUGCCUUUGAUACUGAGGAUCUUGAGUUCGGGAGAGGUGAGUGGAACUGCGAGUGUAGAGGUGAAAAUUCGUAGAUAUUCGCAAGAACACCAGUGGCGAAGGCGGCUCACUGGCCCGAUACUGACGCUGAGGCACGAAAAGCG